rnacentral:rRNA from 1 species
CAAUAGCGUAUAUUAAAGUUGUUGCAGUUAAAAAGCUCGUAGUCGGAUUUCUGGUGGGAGCGAUCGGUCUGGCGCUUAGCGCGAGUACUUGCAUCGUCUCCGGCCAUCCUUGGGGAGAGUCUGUCUGGCAUUAGGUUGUCGGGCAGAGGAUCCUCAUCGUUUACUGUGAAAAAAUUAGAGUGUUCAAAGCAGGCUUAUGCCGUUGAAUAUAUUAGCAUGGAAUAAUAAGAUAGGACUUUGGUACUAUUUUGUUGGUUUGCGCACCAAAGUAAUGAUUAAUAGGGACAGUUGGGGGUAUUCGUAUUCCGUUGUCAGAGGUGAAAUUCUUGGAUUUACGGAAGACGAACUACUGCGAAAGCAUUUACCAAGGAUGUUUNCAUUA